GAUGAACGCUAGCUACAGGCUUAACACAUGCAAGUCGCGGGGCAGCAUGGGGGUUGCUUGCAAUCCCCGAUGGCGACCGGCGCACGGGUGAGUAACGCGUAUCCAACCUGCCCUUCACCACGGGAUAACCCGGCGAAAGUCGGACUAAUACCGUAUGUUGUCCAUUGACGGCAUCCGAUUUGGACGAACCGCCUGGCGGUUUAGGAUUGGGAUCCGUGCGAUGAGCUGGACGGCGGCCUGACGGCCCACCGUCGCGCCGAUCGGUCGGAGUUCUGAGAGGAAGGUCCCACACACUGGAACUGAGACACGGUCCAGACUCCUACGGGCGGCAGCAGUAAGGAAUAUUGGUGAAUGGGCGUAAGCCUGAACCAACCAAGUAGCGUGCAGGAUGCCGGCCAUAUGGGUUGUAAACUGCUUUUAUGCGGGGAUAAAGUGGCCCACGUGUGGGUUUUUGCAGGUACCGCAUGAAUAAGGACCGGCUAAUUCCGUG
rnacentral:rRNA from 1 species